rnacentral:tRNA from 1 species
CCUCCUAUAGCUCACCGGUUUAGAGCGCUUGGCUGUAGCCCGAGAGAACCCGGUUCGACUCCGGGUAGGAGGA